CCAACAUAACCUGGCGUCCCACAAGCUGUAGCCAUCAUGCCACCGUCUUCAAUCUUGGAGAGGCCAAAGUACCAUGAUUUUUGUGUCCUCC